UAUUAGUUCUGUUGCUGUCAUAAAAUACC
rnacentral:piRNA from 1 species